CCUACGGGAGGCAGCAGUGAGGAAUAUUGGUCAAUGGACGAGAGUCUGAACCAGCCAAGUAGCGUGAAGGAUGACUGCCCUAUGGGUUGUAAACUUCUUUUAUAUGGGAAUAAAAUGUUCCACGUGUGGGAUUUUGUAUGUACCAUAUGAAUAAGGAUCGGCUAACUCCGUGCCAGCAGCCGCGGUAAUACGGAGGAUCCGAGCGUUAUCCGGAUUUAUUGGGUUUAAAGGGAGCGUAGGUGGAUUGUUAAGUCAGUUGUGAAAGUUUGCGGCUCAACCGUAAAAUUGCAGUUGAAACUGGCAGUCUUGAGUACAGUAGAGGUGGGCGGAAUUCGUGGUGUAGCGGUGAAAUGCUUAGAUAUCACGAAGAACUCCGAUUGCGAAGGCAGUUCACUGGACUGCAACUGACACUGAGGCUCGAAAGUGUGGGUAUCAAACAGGAUUAGAUACCCGUGUAGUUC
rnacentral:rRNA from 1 species